rnacentral:rRNA from 1 species
GGCGUGGAUAAGACAUGCAAGUCGAACGCUAAUUUGGCUGUAGCAAUACAGUCAAGUUGGAGUGGCGCAAGGGUGCGUAACACGUGGGUAAUUUGCCGUGAAGUUGGGGAUAACUCGCUGAAAGGCGAGCUAAUACCGAAUGUGAAAAUCGAAAGGCAUCUUUUGAUUUUUAAAGUUGGGGACCGUAAGGCCUGACGCUUCUCGAUAAGCCCGCGGCCUAUCAGCUAGUUGGUGAGGUAACGGCUCACCAAGGCUAAGACGGGUAGCUGGUCUGAGAGGACGACCAGUCACACUGGAACUGAGACACGGUCCAGACACCUACGGGUGGCAGCAGUCGAGAAUUUUUCUCAAUGGGCGAAAGCCUGAAGGAGCGACGCCGCGUGGGGGAUGAAGGGCUUCGGCUUUAAAGGGCCUGUCAUUUGCGAACAAACCUUACGAUGAACAGA